AGCUCCGCCUGCGGGACGAGGAGGAGAGGAGGCCGCGCUCCCUCCCCGGUUCGAGUGGCGGCCGCAGGAUCUAAACUGAGCAAGGACUGGGAGAGCUUUACAUGAGCCUGACUGCUGUCUGCCACUGAAACCAGUGGAGGUCUUGAUAGAUACAGCUUGGUUCUGUUGGCAGCAGAUAGCUCAUCAAUAUUUAUUUAUUUAUCCUUGUUAAGCAGCACCCGAAAGCUAACUAGCUAAGUCCUUAAACAAAAACCCGCAAACUUAAUUUUCUUGGAGUCGAAGACCCAUGGUGUGUUUGCUGCUGUGGCAGUAUUUGGAAUAAAGAAGCUGAGCAGCACGGUAUCCUCGGAAGCCCCCUCAGAUAUCUGUGCUGAGCUACAGGAGACGUGCUUUGAACAGCGCUCGUGGUUCUGUUGUGCUGAGGGCAUGAUAAAAGUUUAUGUAAAAGUAUUUCACCAGCAGACUGAAAGGCUUUUAGUCUACUUGGCAGAUUUUUUCCCCUUGCGUUUCACUUGUAUUUCAGCUCUGCAAACUACAUACAAAGUAAAGAGAGUAGGUGGAUUUUUGAACCUGUGUUGCUUAGUGGUGGCCAAUUUGUCUAAUUCUCGGGGAACAUGGUGAGAGUGAUACAGUUUUCAAUUAAGUUUGAGUGGGUUACUUGGGAAAAUCAUGGUGUUUCUGGCAGGUACCUAUCUGGCAGGUACCUAUGAUUUUACUUUGCGUCCUGUUUUUUCUCUUCUGUUGCUCUUGAGUUUUUCUGUGUCAGAAUUCAUGUGAGGUUCUCCUCUGUGUUCUCUCUGAAACUGGAAAAAUAACUUAGUGAUUGUUUUUUAUAAAAACUCAUAAUUCAGAUUUAAAGCUCCUUGUGUGGAUUGCAAUACCUUGAUCCGGCAGUAAUGCGAUUCUUAAUUAAAAAGUAUCCUGUCAGAGCCCGUUGGAAUUGGUAGAAAGAUUUCUGUGCUGAGUUCAAUGCUGCUUAACUUUAUAUCUUCACUGCUGACUGGCACCUGAGAUGCGUCAUCUGUGUCGCAGGGAGCCACAAAUGGUUCACCUGUCACAACAGUUCGCACCUGGCUUAAGAUGUGAAUCUAAAAUUUUAAAUCUAAAUUCCAUCUGACGUUUUAUGAUAUUUUUUAACAUAAAGUCAAUACAGCUGAAAUUAUAAUUUAAAAUGCAUCUUCUUCCAAUUAAGUGAUAUUAUUGUGCUUUCAGUUUUUAUAUGUUGACUUUUUUUUUUUCAGUUUCUAGAGGUGCUUGUUCAGGAUUUAUUUCCUAAUUCUGUGAGUUUUUUGAAAGGAAUGUUCAAACUGCUCAGAAUAUUGCUAUGUACUUGAGAGCGUCUUUAGUUGCAUUGCUGCUGAUGAUAGGAUUAGUCCACGGGUGUUUGGUUUUCUUUUGAUCUACGCAUAACCCAGAUUAAAGGCAAAACUUUGUUUGGUAGGGUAACAUUUUGCGUUGUAAAUGAGCACACUGCUGAUGAUUUAAGCGCUAAUAGGGCGAUGAAGAUGUUUGCUAAUCUGAGUAAAAAUGCACUAGAGCAGUAGGAGGAACAUGAGCUAGGUGGCCCCAAAUCCAUCUGCGUGUCUCUUUGGUGGAGAUCAGCUGAAGUUGGUUUGGGGGAGCAGAUUUUUGUUUUUGUUCUAGUCAAAACCUUAACAGCUCUGUUGACAACAGUCACAUUCAAACCUAAGUUUUUCAGUGAGUCUUCAAAUUUUGUAGCAUUUUUGGAAAGCAGGAUAGUCCCUAUUCCGAAGAGCAAUUUGCUCAUUCCUUCCUAUAGUACUCCUUUCUCGCUGCCCCAGGGCAGCUCCUGGAAUCACCAAAGCUGCUAGGGCCUUCCCGUCAGCGUGUGUCCUGGGCACUGUUUCCACGUGGGUACAUCUGUGGUAAAGCACGAGUUGAUAUCAACACUGUAAAUCCAUUUUAUUAGCACAGCUGACGCUUCUAACGCUUUGGCUUCUGAUUUAUCUUGGUGACAAGGCUUGGUGGGAAGUGUGACAGCUGUGGUAGCUUCUUGCUGGAUGAAUAAAUGUUGUUCAUCUGAUAGUUGCCAGUCUCUUCAUCCAGGGAUACCAUUCCUGCUAGAAUUUGUCUCACUCUUAGUCCAAACCUAGCUCAUCUUCAAAGCAAGGAAAAGUGGUCCCCAGGAAAAGCCCUCACGCUAGGGCUGUUCUCGUAUCGUGAUGUUGGCUAUGAAUGUGGAAACAUUUUGUUUUUACACCCAGUGAGCAAAGCUUUAUACUGAGCAGCUGCAAUUUACAGCAGCAAAACACACAG